AUUUAUGACAGUGUUGGAUCCCCUCGUGAAAUUUUCCGGUGGAACACAUAAAUCAUUCCAAAUACUUUAACUCGGCGAUUUAUGUUUUUUCUCCUUCAUCAUCUCUUCUCUGUCCUAUUUCCUUACUGCCUACUUUCUUAAAGCUCCAUUAAUGGAGUUCAAGCAAAUUCCUCUCGCAGCCACUACAAAUUUCGUCUCAAAUCUUCUCGUUUAUCAUCUGUAAUCAACAUACUGUUGAUUUACUUUCUUUAAUUGGUGUAAUCGUGAUUGCAAUCAUCGUUUUCCGAUCGAGAACUUAUAACCUAAUUUCUCGUUUUUCAUCAAAUUUUGGCUGAAUUACUACUCGUAUUCAUUUGAGUUGCCGGAAUUAAGAUGGCUAUUUCGAGUAAUUGAAGUUCUUACUCAUUGACGAGGUUCAAUCGAACUCUUUUGCUGUGAAUCGUGAACAUAUGUGAAACAAGCGCAAAACGAAGAGGGGGUUACUUUACUGUACCUGGUGUUUGAGUGCAUGCUUGAGAAGAUACAUUCGUACAUUUCGUAAUAUCAUGAUAGCGUCCCUCCUCACAUUGUCAAGGCUGGUGCAACCUGGAGUAACCGAUAGCUCGUAACUAGAAUGGGGAAGAACAGUGAUAGUGUUCAGGUGGUGAGAAAAGCUAUCCUAUUGAAGCUUAUGGAUGUUAUCACAACUUUAUUGGUUCUAUUCUAGCUGACUUGUUGCAUUAUAAUCACAGGCCUUAUACAUCCCAGAAUUCUUAGCUGGAGCUCAGCAUUGGCAUUUUUGAAGUAUAUCAUGAGAGUAUUAACUGUUUUGAUUGACAUCUUUGAACAUUGGCUCUGAAGUUAAAUUUUUCUAUCUUUAUAUAUGUUUUUCAAUGUCUGAAAGUCGUGCACUUUGUGUUUAAAUAGAUGUCGUUUCUGGAUGAGAUUUCUGAACUCUGAUCAUCUCAAAGACUCUCAUGCCUGAAUUUAUCCUAUUAGAAACAGAACAUGCUUAACCUCUGUCAAUGAAGUGUAGGGAUGGAGAAAAAUGCUGUUUUAAUAUGGGAGUCAGCUAGAAACUGGAAAGUGGGCCUAAUUGAUAUGCCCUGGUUCUGGUAUAAGGCAGAUAAUGAUGAGAGAUUGAAGCAAUUUUGCUUCUACCCAUGUUUCAUUGACACGUAUAUCUUUAUAUGUAGAUUUUUAUGUUCUAUGCAUGUAUAGACAUUUCAAGGGUGCUUUUGCAUAUCUGGAAUUCAUCUACACUCUUCUUGCUUGCUUAUUAGAGUAUACGCUGUCCAUAGCUCAAUUUACUAUUAGCGUCCACAAUUGAUUGAUUAAAGCUGAAAAUAGAAGAAAAGGCACCAGAAUCUCUUUGCCAUAUUAUUUCAGCAAAAACAUAAGGUGAUUCUUUUGGGGGGUUUUUUAGAACAGGGAAGAAAUUUUAGAAGUUGUCUCUAUCACGCGCUUGUGACUUUGUGUUCUAGUUUAUUUUUAACGAUGAACUUCCUAAGUACAUUUGUCAAUACAGGCUAGCAAAUUUAUCGGAUCAUUUCAGUUUUAAGCUUUGUGUUUAGCGGAGAAACCAAUGAUCAAGUAACGAACUAGAACAUGAUUAUGAGGAUGAUAAAUUUACAGAAUGUAAUAGAGUGGAAAGUGGGAGAAUAUAUGUUAGUAUAAGCUGGUGUUGUGCUUGGUUAUAUAUACUUGCUUGUUCUCCGCUUGCUUUGCCUUGACUAUCCAAUGAGUAAUGACUAUAAAUGUUGGUCAUCUAACUCUUCUUAAUAUUCCUAUCUCUGUUUCUAAGCAAACUAUAGGGAAGUGGGGGGACUCGGGAGUAGUUUGUAUCAAAUUUUAAAAGUUAAUACAACCAUCAUAUGUUGGUCUUUAAUCCAGAGUACAUCUUUACAUUGUGCAGUAAAUCUACUAGGAGACCCACUGUACAAGGACCCGAGUAGUAACAAGAAGAACAGGCAGAGUUAUGUUGAUAAUCCCCAAAGGGGUGAAAGGUUCACAGCAUUAGAGAAGCUGCUCUCUCCAAUUACAACCACCAAAUAAUUCUCAAUACUCUUUACUUCUACUCUAUUCUUCUAUUUAUAAUAAAAGCUACUGGCCAAAAGAUGCCUUUCUUCUCUCUAGAUAUACUAGAUAGUUUUCUGUCAUUUUCUUUCCUAUAACAGAUUUCCUAUGAGUCAUCAUAACUAACUCAAGACAGAAUAAUAUGAUUCGUCAUAACUAACUUCAUAUGGAAUAAUUAAGGAAGAAUUACUUUGCUGCCCUUGCUCUCCUACUGUGGGUGAAACGAAUAGGUGGGUGUGUUGCACAUUGAGAUACUAAUUUAGUGGUAAGUGGACAGUUAAAAGUACCUACAACAUGUUUCAAUAUAUUGCGCCAUGGGGAAGGUUAAGGGUGUUAUUUGUCUUUCUUAUGCUUGUUAUGGGUGAUCAUCAUAGAAAUUUUUUUGCAUUAUAUUUGUUGAGCAAGUUAUCUUUUAGGAAAAAUUGACAAUAGAGGUCUGAACUUUGGGUAAUAAUUUUUAAAAGGUCUGAACUAUUGAUUAACCUGUGUAGGUCCCAACUUUAGGGGGUCUUAACUUUUAGCGGGCAUCGACGACUUAAAACUGAAGAUUUUUUUUAAAAUCUCACCUAGCUCCUACAUCCCUCCCUCAAUUAACCCUUCUGAAGUGAUCCAAGUUUUACAAGUGAUGAAAUAUUAAGCUAGUUUUAAGUCACUAAGGCCCGCUAAAAGUUAAGACCCCCUAAAGUUGGGACCUACACAGGUUAAUCAAUAGUUCAGACCUUUUAAAAAUUAUCACCCAAAGUUCAGACUUCUAUUGUCAAUUUUUCCUAUCUUUUAUAAGUUAUAACUUAGGUCUUGAGGACACUAGUCCAUUUUCACUUAGGGACAGAUAGACGGUAGACUGAUUCCACUUCUUCGCACAGGCCCUGGGUGUGUGUAAAUCACGUAAUUGAUAAUGUUGUCUUUGGAUGAAUAAAAUGGGUUUCCCACUCAUUUUUGAUCUCUUUUACCCCUGUUUUGUGCUACAAAUCUCAUGCUCUCAUUUCGUCGUUUUUUUCCCUUUUUCUUUUCUAUAUCAUUAGGUCUCUAUCAAAUUUGGAACGAGGGUUGAUGACCUGCUUGUGGAGGGCGCAGCAGUCAAAGGAGUUGAGGGAUGAUGCAGUUGCUCUGGUUCCUGUGCAGACAGUCACGGACUUUCUAGAUGAUCAUCGGACAUCAGGUAGAAGAUUUAGUGACUAAUUUGCAAACUUCAUGUUUGUUGCCUUGUCAAUCCACUAUCAUAAAACUCCUUGCAUCUCCUUAGCUACGUGUUUGCCACAAUCAAGCUAUCGCUUAGGAGUUAAGGCUGCAAAACUCAUUGAGUUAUUUCCUACUCACAUAACUUAUAACUAAGGCUCUACAGGGUUCCAUCUUGAUGUUUGAGAAACAGGUUUAUUGCUUCACAAUCAAUUUGGAUUUAGUUCUCAUUUUGAGCUAACUAUCAAACAAAACUUAACUUCUUUAAAUUAUCUAUUUCAGCUCCCAUGAUUUAUCUCAAAAGAGACCAUUGUUCAAAAGAUUUUGUUUUUAUUUAUAAUUCGUAAGAUCAUGAGAGGAAGUGUUUAAUGAGUGUUGCAGGCAAAAUGAAGUUGGUAGAUAAGUGUGGAGAUAGGUUACAAUCUUCAUGUCUGCUCAAUGUUUUCUCUGUAUAAAUGUAUUACAAAGAAAAUAAUGUAAGCCGAAAUUGUAAUAUAUUGUAUAUCUUUGAAGAAGAUAUUGUAUA